GGCUGGGGAUGAGAAUGGAGCGGGAGCUGCAGGCACGUUCUGGCCUCGCUGCGACCCAGCGGCGCGUGGCACCGGCUGUUAAUCACACCCCCAGGUUUGUGGGACCAAGUGGAGAGUCAAUCGAUCCACUUCCAAAACAAUCACCCGCUACAGUGCUUCAAACCUCCGUGAAAAGGAAAUAGCUGAAGCAAAUUCCCAAGGCAGCAGUCCGAAAUCAGGGGGAAGGGCCAACUCCUCGGCCACGGCGCGGAGAAGGCAGAGUGACCCAGGGGACCUUCUCUCUCGGCAGACACAGUGCCAGCCCGCUCCCUAGAAUGUCCUCAGGCAGCCUCAGAGCUCCUGUAACCUCUAGCUUUCCUCACCACCAUCCCCGACUCUCCGGCACCAGGCUCUCCCGGAGUACGGAAUGCCGAGGCAUCACCCCCCACAGCAGCUGUGCUCAGUUCAGGGGGGGCUCCUCCACACCACAGGUCCCCUACGUUGCAGCACGGCCUUCUGACAAAGCUCCUCUACUGGCGCCUGCUAUGAAGACAUUACUGCAGGUUUUUUAUUUGUUAAUUGCUAGACGUAACUAAGCCUCAGAUACGUUUUUUUUAAUCUAUCUACACAUGCAGAAGGUGGAAUGGGACGUUUUUUAUGCCCACAGGCUUCAUUGCCAGAAUCUAGGAGUAUUGACCAGAGGCGGCAGGAAGGAAAAGGCUGAGAUCACAACAGGAAGGAGGGGGAAGAUUUCAAGGUGCUGAGACGCACGAAAAGAAACUCUGGGGAGGGUGAUCUGAUAAAAAGUAGCGUAAAAUAAUCCCUCCUUUUCAUCUGCCCUCCUGGAAUAACAGUUCUGAGCAGGGUGGGCAAUGCCUGCGGGCUGGGGAGGAGGACAGGCUGGGAACAAAGAUUAAAGACCAUGAAACAAGAUGAGGCGUAUGAACGGCGGGUGACUGAAAGAGGACCAAAGCCAUGCGCACACGGAGAGGUGGAGAUGGAUCCCUAAAAUAGGGGAGAAGGACCACGGGAAAGAAAAGUAUUUAUCUGGGUGUUGGGAGAAAGAUGGAGAACAAAUAAAAGGAUGAAAGUAAAGCAUUAAGCAGAGAAAGUUCCAGCAAUGAUGGAGGUGCCAGUUUUCUAUCAUCUUAUACCAGAUGAGAAAAUGCCAUCAAUGCACACACUAAAUUUGACAAGGACAGAGACUAUUUAACAAGGAAGGACUUCUGUCUAGGGUGUGAAACAUCUGGCAGUGGAUAUUGUCACCAGUCUGGGAGAGGACAUAUAUAACUCUUUUGGGCCACAGCAGCUAAUGGGAUUUGUUUGUUUGUUUGUUUCCCCGGUUUUUUUUCCUUUGUUCCUUGCUUCCCCCCCCCCAUCUCCCUUGUCCUUCCUUCUAACACUUGUUUAAAACUCCAUCUCUACUCUUGAUAUGAAUUGGAGGAGCUAGAAAUGCCAUCUUAUUCUACUAGCAUUGGUAAAAUGCAUAUACUUGUUGGUAGAUACAAAUUAUUUAUUUUAUUUAAUGAAUGUUUUUGCUUGUUUUUAAACAAAGCAAUAGCAGGACUAUAUUCUUGUCCUUUCUGAAAAUGCCAGAUCAAAUGUUGGUUGAAUCAAACUAAAAUAAUUAUACUAACUGAAAGAAACCUUCUAUUUAACUUUCUUGUUUUAAUUCUUAAUAAAACAUUACAAAAUUCAUCUCUGAAA